CACAGUUAUUUAUCAUUUUCUAUUAAUUCAGUUGUAGCCACUACAAUAUCUAUGACACUGGUAGUAAUUAUAAGAACAAUAAUGAUGUUCUAUAAGAGGAAAUGAUGAUUAGGAACAAAAACUUACAGGAGAUAUCAUGCGGUGGAUGGAUAAUAUUUAAAAAAUAUUAAGCAGUAUAUGAAUUUUCAUAUUGCGUAGAGAUAACAAAAUGAAUUUUAAAAAAUGUCGACACGGUAAUAAGAAAUAGCA